GACGAACGCUGGCGGCGUGCCUAAUACAUGCAAGUCGAGCGAAGUUUUUCUGGUGCUUGCACUAGAAAAACUUAGCGGCGAACGGGUGAGUAACACGUAAAGAACCUGCCUCAUAGACUGGGACAACUAUUGGAAACGAUAGCUAAUACCGGAUAACAGCAUUAACUGCAUGGUUGAUGUUUGAAAGUUGGUUUUGCUAACACUAUGAGAUGGCUUUGCGGUGCAUUAGCUAGUUGGUGGGGUAAAGGCCUACCAAGGCGACGAUGCAUAGCCGACCUGAGAGGGUGAUCGGCCACACUGGGACUGAGACACGGCCCAGACUCCUACGGGAGGCAGCAGUAGGGAAUCUUCCGCAAUGGGCGAAAGCCUGACGGAGCAACGCCGCGUGAGUGAAGAAGGAUUUCGGUUCGUAAAAGCUCUGUGUUAGGGAAAGAAAUG
rnacentral:rRNA from 1 species